AUUGAACGCUGGCGGCAGGCCUAACACAUGCAAGUCGAGCGAGCGGCGGACGGGUGAGUAAUGUCUGGGAAACUGCCUGAUGGAGGGGGAUAACUACAGGAAACAGUAGCUACUACCGCCUCCCAUCAGAUGUGCCCAGAUGGGAUUAGCUAGUGGGGGGGGUAACGGCUCACCUAGGCGACGAUCCCUCGCUGGUCUGAGAGGAUGACCGGCCACACUGGAACGAGGACACGGUCCAGACUCCUACGGGAGGCAGCAGUGGGGAAUAUUCCACAAUGGGCGCAAGCCGGAUGCAGCCAGGCCGCGUGGGGGAGGAAGGCCUUCGGGUUGUAAAGCACUUUCAGCGGGGAGGCGUUACCCGCAGAAGAAGCACCGGCUAACUCCGUGCCAGCAGCCGCGGUAAUAC
rnacentral:rRNA from 1 species